AGAGUUUGAUCAUGGCUCAGAACGAACGCUGGCGGCGCGCUUAACACAUGCAAGUCGAGCGGGGGGCUUCGGCCCCCAGCGGCGGACGGGUGAGUAACGCGUGGGAACCUGCCCUGGAGUCUGGGAUAACAGCUGGAAACGGCUGCUAACACCGGAUACGCCCGAGAGGGGAAAGUUGACGCUCUGGGAUGGGCCCGCGUCCGAUUAGCUAGUUGGUGAGGUAACGGCUCACCAAGGCUUCGAUCGGUAGCUGGUCUGAGAGGAUGGCCAGCCACACUGGGACUGAGACACGGCCCAGACUCCUACGGGAGGCAGCAGUGGGGAAUCUUGGACAAUGGGGGCAACCCUGAUCCAGCGACGCCGCGUGGGUGAUGAAGGCCUUCGGGUUGUAAAGCCCUUUUCCUGGGGACGAUGAUGACGGUACCCGGGGAAUAAGCACCGGCUAACUCCGUGCCAGCAGCCGCGGUAAUAC
rnacentral:rRNA from 1 species